CUCUCCGUGGCCUGAUGUCUUCACUCACUCACUCACCUGCCCACUCAUUCAUUCAUUCAGGCACCCAACAGCACUAAGCCUGGUUAGUGAGGAGCAUCCAGGAACAGGAGCCCAGUUCCCUGCUCCAUGAGGGAAAUUCUACUGAUCUUCCAAGGCCCUGCCCUUACAAACCCCUGACCCCCUUCUCCUACCAUCCACCAGCUCCCCCUCCAGCUGCUCGAACCCCGCUGGACACCCCUUGAAUCUUUGAGACCCAUCAGGCCUCUGCCAUCAUGUUCUGGGCGGACUUGGGAACAGGGAGCGGGAUCUUGCAAAGUGCCCCCGGACUCAGCUUCUGAGAAGUUCUUCUUUCAAAGCCUCUUCUGUGGGAGCUUGGAUGGUGCCAGUUUCCCUCGGAGCACAGACCUUCUCUCACUCAGGUGGUCAUGUGAUACAACUUCAGCCAAUGAGAUGGGAGCAGAGUUGCUGGGGCAUUCUGGGAAAUUCUGUGGACCACUUAUCAGUAAUCCUUAAAGGUAUCCCAAAGUCCCAGGGUGAGCAGCUGCGCCGUGACCACAGGGGCAUCCGGAUGCAUGGACGACACCAAGGGGAGGAAGUGAGGAGGCUGGGCC